rnacentral:rRNA from 1 species
CCUACGGGUGGCAGCAGUGAGGAAUAUUGGUCAAUGGGCGCGAGCCUGAACCAGCCAAGUAGCGUGAAGGAUGACUGCCCUACGGGUUGUAAACUUCUUUUAUAAAGGAAUAAAGUGAGGCACGUGUGCCUUUUUGUAUGUACUGUAUGAUUAAGGAUCGGCUAACUCCGGGCUAGCAGACGCGGGAAUACGGUGGAUCCGAGCGUUAUCCGGAUUUAUUGGGUUUAAAGGAAGCGUUGAGGGGUUGGUAAGUUAGUUGUGAAAGUUUGCGGCUGAACCGUAAGAUUGCAAUUGAUACUGGCAGUCUUGAGUACAGUUGAGGUAGGCGGAAUUCGUGGUGUAGCGGUGAAAUGCUUAGAUAUAACGAAGAACUCCGAUUGCGAAGGCAGCUUACUAAACUGCCACUGACAUUGAUGCUCGAAAGUGUGGGUAUCAAACAGGAUUAGAUACCCCAGUAGUC